CCUACGGGCGGCAGCAGUGAGGAAUAUUGGUCAAUGGACGAGAGUCUGAACCAGCCAAGUAGCGUGAAGGAUGACUGCCCUAUGGGUUGUAAACUUCUUUUAUAUGGGAAUAAAACGUUCCACGUGUGGGAUUUUGUAUGUACCAUAUGAAUAAGGAUCGGCUAACUCCGUGCCAGCAGCCGCGGUAAUACGGAGGAUCCGAGCGUUAUCCGGAUUUAUUGGGUUUAAAGGGAGCGUAGGUGGAUUGUUAAGUCAGUUGUGAAAGUUUGCGGCUCAACCGUAAAAUUGCAGUUGAAACUGGCAGUCUUGAGUACAGUAGAGGUGGGCGGAAUUCGUGGUGUAGCGGUGAAAUGCUUAGAUUUCACGAAGAACUCCGAUUGCGAAGGCAGUUCACUGGACUGCAACUGACACUGAGGCUCGAAAGUGUGGGUAUCAAACAGGAUUAGAUACCCGAGUAGUC
rnacentral:rRNA from 1 species